rnacentral:rRNA from 1 species
UACAUGUGGGGCAAGCGUUGUUCGGAAUUACUGGGCAUAAAGGGUGCGUAGGCGGCUUGUUAGGUCACUGGUGAAAGUUUUCGGCCCAACCGGAAAAUUGCCUGUGAUACCGGCGAGCUCGAGUGCGUGAGGGGUGGGGGGAACGAGCAGUGUAGCGGUGAAAUGCGUAGAUAUCAUGAGGAAUACCAGAGGCGAAGGCGGCUACCUGGACAAUUGCUGACGCUCAGGCACGAAAGCGUGGGGAGCAAAAGGG